GAUGGACGCUGGCGGCGUGCCUAAUACAUGCAAGUCGAGCGAACAGAUGAGGAGCUUGCUCCUCUGACGUUAGCGGCGGACGGGUGAGUAACACGUGGAUAACCUACCUAUAAGACUGGGAUAACUUCGGGAAGCCGGAGCUAAUACCGGAUAAUAUAUUGAACCGCAUGGUUCAAUAGUGAAAGACGGUUUUGCUGUCACUUAUAGAUGGAUCCGCGCCGCAUUAGCUAGUUGGUAAGGUAACGGCUUACCAAGGCAACGAUGCGUAGCCGACCUGAGAGGGUGAUCGGCCACACUGGAACUGAGACACGGUCCUGACUCCUACGGGAGGCAGCAGUAGGGAAUCUUCCGCAAUGGGCGAAAGCCUGACGGAGCAAGGCCGCGUGAGUGAUGAAGGUCUUCGGAUCGUAAAACUCUGUUAUUAGGGAAGAACAAAUGUGUAAGUAACUAUGCACGUCUUGACGGUACCUAAUCAGAAAGCCACGGCUAACUACGUG
rnacentral:rRNA from 1 species